rnacentral:misc_RNA from 1 species
AACACUGUUAACCUGCGGUACCUGCGGAGGGAUCAUUACCGAAGUUACUCUUCAUACCCUUAUGUGAACCCUACCCCUCGCCGCGCGGUUGCCUCGGCGGGAGGUCGCGGGCUGGGGCUCCGGCCCCUGCCCCCGCGGCCCCCGCCGGCCGCGCCCAACUCUUCUUCUGCAAAGCGGACUGCAAGUUCUGAUUAUAUCUUGAAAAACAAGUCAAAACUUUCAACAAUGGAUCUCAGAUCG